GACGAACGCUGGCGGCGUGCUUAACACAUGCCAGUCGAACGGAACGGUCCUGCAUUUGUGCGCUGCUCGAGUUGCGAACGGGUGAUUAACACGUGAGUAACCUGCCAUUGACUUUGGUAUAUCUUCAGGACACUGGGUCUAUUCCCGGCUAGGAGCUCCUGCUGAAUGGUGGGGCUGGGAAAGUUUCGCCGGUUGGGGAUGGACUCGCCGCUUAUCAGCUUGUUGGUGGGGUAGUGGCUUACCAAGGCUUGGACGGGUAGCCUGGCUGCGCGGGUGACCGGCCACACCGCGACUGAGCUGAGGCCCAGACUCCUCCGGGAGGCAGCGGAGGGGUAUAGUGCAUUAUGGGCGGGGGGCUGAUGCAGCCACGCCGCGUGGGGGAUGUGGGCCAUCGGGUUGUAAUCCACUUCCGCCUGUGACGAGGCGUGAGUGACGGUAACGGGUAAAGAAGCACCGGCUAACUACGUG
rnacentral:rRNA from 1 species